CAGACCAGAGCCCUAUGGCUCCCUGUUCCCUAUAUAGUGCACUACUUCAGACCAGAGCCCAAUGGCACCCUAUUGACUGGAGGGGCGCUAUUAAGGAAUAGUGCCAUUCGAGUUGCCUUCCCUUAGUCCAUAACAUCCCUGCUCUGCUCAGAGACAUUGUUGGGAUUUGGGAAUAUGGGAUUAUUUAAAAGCUAAAUCCAUUGCAAAAUUAUUUAACGGUCCAAUGCAGCUGUUUUUUAUUUCAAUAUCAAAUCGUUUCUGAGUAAUAAUUAAGUACCUUACUGGGAAUGUUGUCAAUUAAACUGGUCACAAAGAAGGAAAAAAAAAAUAUUCUUAGCAAAAGGCUAGAUUUUAGCUCGGGCUGUCUGGGAGUGGUCUGAGUGGGGAGGGGAAACAGAAAAUGAGCUGUUAUUGGCAGAGAGGUUUGGAACUCUUUCUUAUUGGUCUAUUAACUCAUUUACUGCAUGGUGACCAUGGAAGGACAAAACUCAAUCUCAACAAAAGAGGCUUACAUUUCAGCCGGUCUUUUCAAACCGCUUUUACACUUUAAAGGGCACUAUCAUCAUUUCACAGUAUUAUUCCAACCUCAUAGUGUGGAAAUAUAGAUAAAACACAGGAAAUCGUUUUUGACUGGGCCUUUAUUCUUUUAAUAUUUUUACAUAUUACAUUUUGGUUAAAUUAUUUGUAAUUAUUUCAGAUUUUAUAUAAUUUAUGACGUUGGGCUAUAAGAGAGCGAGGGAUGUUGUUGUUACUGUGUUUUUGGCACAUUUUCUACUAGCCCAGUCUGAAAAUUAGGCUAAACUUCCAUCCCUGAGCACAGUGCUUCCAUUUUAGCUGUGGGACUGAAUACUGUGUAACCUACUUGCUAAAUCAAACAUUAGCACUAUGAGUCUAUCUAUUUCUGCCUAUAAUGUUACCAUAGAGAAUCACACUAAUAUUUUCUAACUAAUUUAUGUAGAUUGAAAGGAUAAAAUAUAUAAUCUGUAUCACUGACAAAUUAUUUUAUUAAGAAAAUACAAAUUGCAUAAUUUUUGGGGGAAAUAUUGAAACCUUUAAUAUAUGACUUAUAGAGAUGCCUAUUAUGAAGGCUAUUGCUGUAUAGCAUUUUGAAGGAUUUUUCACCAGUUAGAUUGUUUUGGGACUAUGAAAUGACUUUAAAACUAAAAUGAAUUAGAAAAUAUACAAUAUGAUUGUACUCUAAAUGGUCUGGUUGUGACCGAGAUCACAUUCUAUUGUAAAUUAAAUGAUCAAAAAUCAAGGUUUUGUGGAGAGAAAAAAAAUGCUAUAUUAUGCAAAAAGCCUGAGGUACAUAUCCCAUCCUACAGCUGUUCUACAUCCAGCCUAUAGCGAGCCUCCUAUAAGACAGGGGUAUUCCACUCUUACCCUACAAGGUCCAGAGCCUGCUGGUUUUCUGUUCUACCUGAUAAUUGCACACACCUCGUGUCCCAGGUCUAAAUCAGUCCCUGAUUUAGAGGGGAACAAUGAAAAAAGGCAGUGGAUCUGGCUUGGAGGUCCAGAGUUUGAGGGGUGUAGACGUUAUGCAUGGUGCUCCCAUUCAUACUGUCUAUAUGUUAUCUGACUGUUCUAUACGUUGAACAGUGAACAAUGCACAGUGAAAAUGUAUUCUUCUGCUAUCUGCCUUAAUUUGCUGACUUGUAUAAAUCCACCUGAUAGGGGUUUCUAUGGGCUGAGAUCACCUGAUGGGGUUUUCUAUGGGUUGAGAUCACCCGAUGGGGUUUUCUAUGGGUUGAGAUCACCCGAUGGGGUUUUCUAUGGGUUGAGAUCACCCGAUGGGGUUUUCUAUGGGUUGAGAUCACCCGAUGGGGUUUUAUAUUGCCACCAACAGGACACCUGAGCUUCUCUGAUGUAAAUGCACCAUUAUCAAUGAAGACAUGGCAACAAUGGGUAAUUAUUCAUGUGAAGUACCAUGGCUUUUUUUAUUUACAAUGUGUGUAUUUUGUUGUACAUAUUUUCUGCUUGAAUGGUACUGCAGAGCAAUCCAAGCUGCUUUAUCGUUUUCUCAUUGUCACUCUUUAACUGGCCGUUAAAGUCCUUUUUGACAGUUUGUUCCUUCAAAAUAAAACAUUUUAUUUCUUAAA